rnacentral:rRNA from 1 species
GAUGAACGCUGGCGGCGUGCCUAAUACAUGCAAGUCGAGCGAACGGACGAGAAGCUUGCUUCUCUGAUGUUAGCGGCGGACGGGUGAGUAACACGUGGAUAACCUACCUAUAAGACUGGGAUAACUUCGGGAAACCGGAGCUAAUACCGGAUAAUAUUUUGAACCGCAUGGUUCAAAAGUGAAAGACGGUCUUGCUGUCACUUAUAGAUGGAUCCGCGCUGCAUUAGCUAGUUGGUAAGGUAACGGCUUACCAAGGCAACGAUGCAUAGCCGACCUGAGAGGGUGGUCGGCCACACGGGAACUGAGACAGGGUCCAGACUCCUACGGGAGGCAGCAGUAGGGAAUCUUCCGCAAUGGACGAGAGCCUGACGGAGCAACGCCGCGUGAGUGAUGAAGGUCUUCGGAUCGUAAAACUCUGUUAUUAGGGAAGAACAUAUGUGUAAGUAACUGUGCACAUCUUGACGGUACCUAAUCAGAAAGCCACGGCUAACUACGUG